UCUGGCGGCCGUAGCGCGGUGGUCCCACCUGACCCCAUGCCGAACUCAGAAGUGAAACGCCGUAGCGCCGAUGGUAGUGUGGGGUCUCCCCAUGCGAGAGUAGGGAACUGCCAGGC
rnacentral:rRNA from 10 species